CCACCUUGAGGGGAAAGAGGU
rnacentral:misc_RNA from 1 species